rnacentral:lncRNA from 1 species
GAGCAUUUUGUAUAUGAAGAACAGAGUGACAGGAAGAAGAAAGAGCACCAGGCUGAGCACCAUUCGACCUCCACUAAUACACGUCUGACCUUGUUCAAGCCCCUUCGCAUCUCUGGCUCAGGUUCCCCUAUUAAGUGCAAAUCACAGCAGUAACUCAACAAGACAUGGGCAAGACUCAAAAAUCUAAAUGACAUCUCAACAACAUGUGAUUGUACCCAGGCAUUUCCCCCUGGGAGCACCAAAGGGAAGAAGGUAAUUUUUCGGUCUUUUGGAAGCUGUGCCCUGGUGCCAAGAUGCCUCAAGCCAAAACCACACAGAGCAGCCUGCCUGACAGAUGGGCCCAGUAGCCUUUAUCAAGCUCUUAGGCUCUUAUGAGCUUCCCUACUUGCGAAUUAAACAUAAAUUUAUCCUUUGCGGCUCUUUCAUAAA